GUAGUCUCGCACAGAUGCAUAUCAAUAAGCGGAGGAAAAGAAACUAACAAGGAUUCCCUCAGUAACGGCGAGUGAAGCGGGAAGAGCUCAAGUUUGAAAUCUUGAAAGGUCACCCUUCACGAAUUGUAGUUUAAAGAAGUGUUUUCUGUUACGAUCGUAAUAUAAGUUCUUUGGAAUAGGACAUCACAGAGGGUGAGAAUCCCGUCUAUGAUUGCGAUUUGUAGCUUUGUGAUACACUUUCAAAGAGUCGGGUUGUUUGGGAAUGCAGCCCAAAACGGGAGGUAAAUUUCUUCUAAGGCUAAAUAUUGGCGAGAGACCGAUAGCGAACAAGUACCGUGAGGGAAAGAUGAAAAGAACUUUGAAAAGAGAGUUAAAUAGUACGUGAAAUUGUCAAAAGGGAAGCGUUUAACACCAGUGUUGUUUUCUGAAAAUCAACCUCUGUUAGCUUUAUGCAUGUUUGUUUAGACCUAAUCAGCUAUCUUUCAUGUUCUAUUGUUUGCAGUGGUGCACUUUUCAGUUUACAGGUCAACAUCAGUUUUUUUUACCGUAAAAAAGUUAAAGAAAGGUAGCUCAUGGCUCCGGUCGUGAGUGUUAUAGUCUUUUUCCUAUGCGGUAGGAGAGACUGAGGUCUGCAGUGUAGGCUAUUUGGCUAGAUACUCAGGUGCUAUGUGAUACCAUUUCAUAAACAACUUGUUGAUUAUGUUUUGUCUAUUGCAUACUCGCUUGUACUAUCAUACCUACGCUUAGGAUGUUGAGUCGUAGAGCACGCAG
rnacentral:rRNA from 1 species